UACGUAGGGGGCAAGCGUUAUCCGGAUUUACUGGGUGUAAAGGGAGCGUAGACGGCAGGGCAAGUCUGGAGUGAAAGGCAGGGGCCCAACCCCUGGACUGCUCUGGAAACUGUCCGGCUGGAGUGCAGGAGAGGUAAGUGGAAUUCCUAGUGUAGCGGUGAAAUGCGUAGAUAUUAGGAGGAACACCAGUGGCGAAGGCGGCUCUCUGGCCUGUAACUGACACUGAGGCUCGAAAGCGUGGGGAGCAAACAGG
rnacentral:rRNA from 1 species